GGGUGGCGACGCGGGCCGGACCCAGCCGGGGCGGCAGGGCAGGCGCCGCCCGAGGCGUAGGGCACGCGCGGGGACGCGCCGAGCCAGGGAGGCGCGCUCCGGCCGCACUCGCUCCGCGCUCCCUUCGCUCGCUCACUCCCUCCUCCCUCGGCAGCCGCGGCGGCAGCAGUAGAAGGCGGCGGCGGUGGCGGCGGCUGGGGAUCAGACAUGGCGGCGGAUCUGAACCUGGAGUGGAUCUGCUCCCUGCCUCGGUCCUGGACUUACGGGAUCACCAGGGGUGGUCGAGUCUUCUUCAUCAACGAGGAGGCGAAGAGCACCACCUGGCUGCACCCCGUCACCGGUGAGGCCGUGGUUACCGGACACCGGCGGCAGAGUACAGAUUUGCCUACUGGCUGGGAGGAAGCAUAUACUUUUGAAGGUGCAAGAUACUAUAUAAACCAUAAUGAAAGAAAAGUGACCUGCAAACAUCCAGUCACAGGACAGCCAUCACAGGACAAUUGUAUUUUUGUAGUUAAUGAACAGACCAUUGCAACGAUGACAUCUGACGAAAAAAAGGAACGACCUAUAAGUAUGAUAAAUGAAGCUUCUAACUAUAACAUGACUUCAGAUUAUGCAGUGCAUCCAGUGAGCCCUGUAGGCAGAACUUCACGAUCUUCAAAAAAAGUUCAUAAUUUUGGGAAAAGGUCAAACUCAAUUAAAAGGAAUCCUAAUGCACCAGUGGUCAGACGAGGUUGGCUUUACAAACAGGACAGUACUGGCAUGAAGCUGUGGAAGAAACGCUGGUUUGUGCUUUCUGACCUUUGCCUCUUUUAUUAUAGAGAUGAGAAGGAAGAGGGUAUCCUGGGAAGUAUACUGUUGCCUAGUUUUCAGAUAGCAGUGCUUACCUCUGAGGAUCACAUUAAUCGCAAAUAUGCUUUUAAGGCAGCCCAUCCAAACAUGCGGACCUAUUAUUUCUGCACUGAUACAGGAAAAGAAAUGGAAUUGUGGAUGAAAGCCAUGUUAGAUGCUGCUCUGGUACAGACAGAGCCUGUGAAAAGAGUGGACAGGAUUACAUCUGAAAAUGCACCAACUAAAGAAAUCAAUAACAUUCCCAACCAUAGAAUGCUGAUUAAACCCGAAGUCCAAAACAACCAGAAAAACAAGGAAAUGAGCAAAAUUGAAGAAAAAAAGGCAUUAGAAGCUGAAAAAUAUGGAUUUCAGAAGGAUGGUCCAGACAAACCUUUAACAAAAAUUAAUAGUGUAAAAUUGAAUUCUCUGCCAUCUGAGUAUGAAAGCAGUUCAACAUGCCCAGCCCAGACUGCAUACUACAGACCAGGCAAUGUGAAUACUUCAGAGAGCAAAACAGUCAAUGUUAGCCUGGCAGAUCUCAGAGGUGGAGUUCACCCAAACACGGGGCCCUUGCACACGGAGGCUGAUCGAGUCAUACAGAGAACCAAUUCAAUGCAGCAGUUGGAACAGUGGAUUAAAAUCCAGAAGGGGAGGGGUCAUGAAGAAGAAACCAGGGGAGUAAUUUCUUACCAAACUUUACCAAGAAAUAUGCCAAGCCACAGAGCUCAGAUUGUGGCCCGCUACCCUGAAGGUUAUAGAACGCUCCCAAGAAACAGCAAGACCAGGCCUGAAAGUAUCUGCAGUGUGACCCCUUCCAGUCACGACAAGACAGUAGGACCUGGAGCAGAAGAGAAACGGAGGUCAAUGAGAGAUGACACGAUGUGGCAGCUCUAUGAGUGGCAGCAGCGUCAGUUUUAUAAUAAGCAGAGCACUCUCCCGCGGCAUGGUACUUUGAGUAGUCCUAAAACCAUGGUUAAUAUUUCUGACCAGACAAUGCACUCUAUUCCCACAUCGCCUUCCCACGGUUCAAUAGCUGCUUACCAGGGAUACUCCCCUCAGCGAACCUAUAGAUCCGAAGUGUCUUCACCAAUUCAGAGAGGAGAUGUGACAACAGACCGCAGACACAGGGCCCAUCACCCUAAGCAUGUCUAUGUGCCUGACAGAAGAUCAAUGCCAGCAGGCCUAAGUUUACAGUCUGUUAAUCCACAGAGCCUCCAAGGCAAAACGCCAGAGGAGCUUACGCUGCUGCUAAUAAAGCUGAGACGGCAGCAAGCUGAACUGAGUAGUAUCCGGGAACAUACGCUAGCACAGCUCAUGCAGCUGAAACUUGAGGCCCACAGCCCAAAGAACGAAAUUCUUUCUCAUCGUCUUCAAAGGAACACCAUAUAUUUGGAUCAUCAGAUGAAAGAAAAUGAACCUAUUAUCACCAUGGUUCACACAAUGAUUGAGAACUCGGCGCUAAGACCCCAACUGUACCAGCAAUUCUUAAGACAGAAGAAGAAGAUAAGUCUAUACUGUCUGUCUCAAGAUGAAUGUAGAGGUACAUUAUAUAAAUACAGACCUGAAGAAGUGGAUAUUGAUGCCAAGUUAAGCCGAUUAUGUGAACAAGAUAAAGUGGUCCAUGCUCUGGAACAGAAACUUCAGCAGCUCCACAAGGAGAAAUACACACUAGAGCAAGCUUUGCUCUCAGCCAGCCAAGAGAUAGAAAUGAAUGCAGAUAACCCAGCAGCCAUUCAGACGGUGGUGUUACAGAGGGAUGAUUUGCAGAAUGGAUUGCUCAGUACAUGCCGAGAACUGUCUCGAGCCACUGCUGAACUGGAACGAGCAUGGAGAGAAUAUGAUAAAUUAGAAUAUGAUGUAACAGUUACCAGGAGUCAGAUGCAGGAGCAGCUAGAUCUACUUGGUGAAGUUCAGACUGAAUCAGCAGGAAUUCAGCGUGCACAGAUUCAGAAAGAACUUUGGAGAAUUCAGGAUGUCAUGGAAGGGCUGAGUAAACAUAAACAGCAAAGAGGUACAACAGAAACAGGUAUGGCAGGAUCAAAGCCUUUCUCAGCAGUUAAGUACAAAAAUGAGGAAGAGGAAGUAGUCCCACCUCGUCCUCCACUUCCUCGGUCCUAUGACUAUACAGAGCAGCCUCCCAUAAUCCCCCCUCUGCCCAGUGAUAGCAGCUCCUUGCUCUGUUAUAGCAGGGGCCCUGUGCAUCUACCUGAAGAAAAGAAGAUUCACCAAGUUCAAGGAUAUCCAAGAAAUGGAUCUCACUGUGGUCCAGAUUAUAGACUCUACAAGAGUGAACCAGAGUUAACAACAGUUGCAGAAGUUGAUGAAUCUAAUGGAGAAGAAAAAUCAGAACCUAUUUCAGAGAUGGAAACUUCGGUUGUUAAAGGUUCCCACUUUCCUGUUGGUGUAGUCCCUCCAAGAACAAAAUCACCAACACCUGAAUCUUCGACAAUAGCCUCAUAUGUAACCUUAAGGAAGACUAAGAAGAUGUUGGAUCCAAGAAUGGAAAGACCAAGAAGUGCAGUGGAACAGCUCUGUUUGGCUGAAAAUACUCGACCUAGAAUGACUGUGGAAGAGCAGAUGGAAAGAAUAAGGAGACACCAACAAGCAUGCCUAAGGGAAAAGAAAAAAGGAUUAAAUGUUAUUGGUGCUUCAGAUCAGUCACCCUUACAAAGUCCUUUGAGUUUAAGGGAUAAUACGUUCAGGCUUACCCAGAAUCGAAAGAGAGAUGAUUUGUUAUCAAGUAACAUUACAGAACUGGACACUGUCAUCAGAGAAAAUGAUGUAAAGCCAAACCAUGAAACUCCUGCAGCAGAAAUUGUCCAACUAAAAGAAGCUGAAUUUCAAAAUACAGAUCUCAACAAAGAGUUUAAAACAACUGAAAAUGUUUUUACUGAAACCCUUUUCAAACCUGAGCCAAAUGGAAUAAAUUCUGAGGAAGUGAUAGAUAAAGAAGAAAACAAGGAAAAAAUGCCUGAAGAUGUACCAUUCAGCCCUCAAGAUGGGACACGGAUCUCAAAUCAUAAACCAGAAGGCCACCCUGAAGAAAUCACAAAGGACAGUAUUCAUGAACAGGAAGAAACUGAAAUUUCUUACGAACUAACUCCUGAGGCUUCCAGAGGAAAUCAAACAAUGGCAGGAAGGAGACACGUGGAAAAGGGAAGAAAAGGCAGCAGUGGCCUAAGCAUCUAGAUCCCCACAGAAUCUACUCUGGUUUGGGUAUCAGUCCUUUCACAUCACCAACUCAUGCUGUUUAUUUAUUUAUUUUUUAUCUUAAUAUAUACUGUAAAGUUUUUCUAAGAAGUCUUUCUACUUUGUGAACUGUGGAGGAUUUAAUUUCUAAAGUAAUUUCUUUUACUCUUACCCCUACUGUAAUCCACAUUUGUGUUUUUCUUUAACUUUAGAAAAUCAUGAUAUGUAGAAUGUAAAAAAUGAAUUGUUCUAUGCUAUUCUUUGAAAUUUUGGGGGAUUUUUCUAAAUCAUUUUUCCUUUUCUUUUUUUUAUUCCUUUUAUGAUCUUUUUUGAGGGGGGUUGUUCAUACCACCAAUGCAUAUGUCCAGCUUUGCUUCCUCUAAUAAGCAAAAAAACUUCCCUAGUAACACACACACCUUCUGCAAAAGAGCAAACACGGUGAAAUUCAAUUAUAGGACAUUUCUUCUUGGGAUAAGCAUGAAGCUGCUAGACAGAGCAUUUACUCUAUCUUAUGUACAUAUAAUAGCAAAUUUAUGUAAUCAAUCAUAUUGUCUUGUGACAAAUAUUAAGGACUGUCUUUUCCUUUGCCUCUAACAUUUAUAAGGCAGAGUGCAUGGAAGUUCUUACUUUUUUUUCUAAUUGUCAUUAGCCCCUUUGAGUUAUUGUUUAGAGCAAGUCUGGAUCAAGCAGUGUGGUCCAAUUAAAUAACAAUAUUUAACUCCUCUAUAGUCUGUAGUUACAUGGGACUGCAAAGGUUCUUUUAAAGGUAAGACAGAAUGGGACACCUGAUAGACACCUUGAAAUUAAAACUCUUAAGACAAAAAAAAGAGUAGAGUAGAAUUUUUUAAACAGUUUUGAAGAGACAUUCCCUACUGAGUAAUCAGUUGCCGGAUUAGAAAAUAACACCUGAACCCAAGUACAGCUAUUAAUUCCUUCCCAAAAUACGUGCUUGUUGUUGUGGAGUCAUAACAUCAGGAUUUCCUUCUCCAAAUGUAUCUUAAAAGGUUUCUGUCUUCUCACAUUUUCUUGAUGUGUUGUAGUGAAAAGUCUGUCCCAGUCUCCUGAGUCCUCAGCAUCACCAGUUCCUUCCACUCAGCCGCAGCUCCCAGAAGGAUCACAUUUCAUGUGUGUGUAGUCUCAGAAGAACUAUACUGACUUCUGUUGAAACCAUUCACAGCUAAGGACAUGGA